rnacentral:rRNA from 1 species
AUUGAACGCUGGCGGCAGGCUUAACACAUGCAAGUCGAGCGGGGAAGGGUAGCUUGCUACCUGACUUAGCGGCGGACGGGUGAGUAAUGCUUAGGCAUCUGCCUCUUAGUGGGGGACAACAUUACGAAAGGAAUGCUAAUACCGCAUACGCCCUACGGGGGAAAGCAGGGGAUCUUCGGACCUUGCGCUAAUAGAUGACCCUAAGGCAGAUUAGCUAGUUGGUGGGGUAAAGGCCUACCAAGGCGACGAACGGUAGCCGGGCUGAAAGGAUGGUCCGCCACACUGGGACUGAGACACGGCCCAGACUCCUACUGGGGGCAGCAGUGGGGAAUAUUAGACAAUGGGCGCAAGCCUGAUCCAGCCAUGCCGCGUGUGUGAAGAAGGCCUUUUGGUUGUAAAGCACUUUAAGCGAGGAGGAGACUACUGAGAUUAAUACUCUUGGAUAGUGGACGUUACUCGCAGAAUAAGCACCGGCUAACUCUGCGCCAGCCGCCGCGGUAA